rnacentral:rRNA from 1 species
GACGAACGCUGGCGGCGUGCCUAACACAUGCAAGUCGAACGGAAGUAAGUGCUUCGGUAUUUACUUUAGUGGCGAACGGGUGAGUAACGCGUGAGGAACCUGCCUUUCAGUGGGGGACAACAGUUGGAAACGACUGCUAAUACCGCAUAAUGUGUUUUGGGGGCAUCCCCGGAACACCAAAGAUUUAUCGCUGAAAGACGGGCUCGCGUCUGAUUAGCUAGUUGGUGGGGUAACGGCCUACCAAGGCGACGAUCAGUAGCCGGACUGAGAGGUUGAACGGCCACAUUGGGACUGAGAUACGGCCCAG